AGGAGGAAAACAUCCCCACUCAUCCCUGUCUGUGUCGUGUAGCUAAUUGUGAACAGGUAUUGAACUGCCGCAUCUCUCGUCGUCUCAUCACCAUGGAGAAAGUUCAACCCUUUGAGAAAAUCCAUGAAUCUGACAAUGCUCAAGUCGAAGUAGAUCACUACGAGGAGGCGUCAUUUCGACAGAUGUAUUUCCAUCCAAGACGUUCAAAGGAAGGCGACGCCAAUGAUCAAGUAGAAAAUGGAGAAGGUGUGGAGGAAGCUAUUCUUGUUGACAAAAUAGCCACCACUUCUCUCGCUGAAAAUGGAUGAUGUUAUUUUGUCUUGCUGAGAUAUCGCAUUAAAAUUAGGGUUUUCAAAAUCCAGAGAUACAGUUGAAAUAUCAGUCAAUCUGAUUAGAAUGUUUCUCAUAGAUUAGAAUGUAUCGAUAGCCCCCCAUUGAGUGAAGUGUCGUCCUCAAACAUUCGGAUGAUUUCCUACAUAAUGCGGAGCUACUGUGAAAUAAUUGUUUGUAUUGUCAGGGCUUGUCAGCUUCUUAACAUCAUCUUUUACUUAAACAAUAUGACUGUGAUAUUUUAAUAUAAUAAACAAGCAAAAGUGUAA